rnacentral:rRNA from 1 species
UACGAAGGGGGCUAGCGUUGUUCGGAAUCACUGGGCGUAAAGGGCGCGUAGGCGGCCGAUCAAGUCGGGGGUGAAAGCCUGUGGCUCAACCACAGAAUUGCCUUCGAUACUGGUUGGCUUGAGACCGGAAGAGGUAAGUGGAACUGCGAGUGUAGAGGUGAAAUUCGUAGAAUAUUCGCAAGAACACCAGUGGCGAAGGCGGCUUACUGGUCCGGUUCUGACGCUGAGGCGGCGAAAGCGUGGGAGCAAACAGG